CCAGUAGUCAUAUGCUUGUCUCAAAGAUUAAGCCAUGCAUGUCUAAGUAUAAGCACUUUAUACUGUGAAACUGCGAAUGGCUCAUUAAAUCAGUUAUCGUUUAUUUGAUAGUACCUUACUACAUGGAUACCUGUGGUAAUUCUAGAGCUAAUACAUGCUGAAAACCUCGACUUCGGAAGGGGUGUAUUUAUUAGAUAAAAAACCAAUGCCCUUCGGGGCUCCUUGGUGAAUCAUAAUAACUUAACGAAUCGCAUGGCCUUGCGCCGGCGAUGGUUCAUUCAAAUUUCUGCCCUAUCAACUUUCGAUGGUAGGAUAGUGGCCUACCAUGGUGGCAACGGGUAACGGGGAAUUAGGGUUCGAUUCCGGAGAGGGAGCCUGAGGAACGGCUACCACAUCCAAGGAAGGCAGCAGGCGCGCAAAUUACCCAAUCCCGACACGGGGAGGUAGUGACAAUAAAUACUGAUACGGGGCUCUUUUGGGUCUCGUAAUUGGAAUGAGUACAAUCUAAAUCCCUUAACGAGGAACAAUUGGAGGGCAAGUCUGGUGCCAGCAGCCGCGGUAAUUCCAGCUCCAAUAGCGUAUAUUAAAGUUGUUGCAGUUAAAAAGCUCGUAGUUGAACCUUGGGUCUGGCUGGCCGGUCCGCCUCACCGCGAGUACUGGUCCGGCUGGACCUUUCCUUCUGGGGAAUCUCAUGGCCUUCACUGGCUGUGGGGGGAACCAGGACUUUUACUGUGAAAAAAUUAGAGUGUUCAAAGCAGGCCUUUGCUCGAAUACAUUAGCAUGGAAUAAUAGAAUAGGACGUGCGGUUCUAUUUUGUUGGUUUCUAGGACCGCCGUAAUGAUUAAUAGGGAUAGUCGGGGGCGUCAGUAUUCAGCUGUCAGAGGUGAAAUUCUUGGAUUUGCUGAAGACUAACUACUGCGAAAGCAUUCGCCAAGGAUGUUUUCAUUAAUCAGGAACGAAAGUUAGGGGAUCGAAGACGAUCAGAUACCGUCGUAGUC
rnacentral:rRNA from 1 species